UGGUGCAAACCAAAAAAGCAGAACUCCUAGAACUCUGAUGACGAUUCUACGGCAGCUUCCACCAACCUUUGCCGACUUCAAAUCAACAAAAUGGUGGAACAGGUAACUUUUUAAUUUUCCUUUCAUUAUUAUUUUAAUUUGAUUACUAAUAUUUAAUUUUUUUUCUAUAUAGACGGUUCCAAGGAAGAAAGGACGUCUGGUCGGUUUGGCUCGUCGUGUCCUUCUUCUUCACAAACUCCAUACACAGAUCCCAUGAUCAUGGAGCAGCUGCAGAACAAGGAUGAGCGGAUUGAGGCGUUAGAGACGCAGAACGCUA
rnacentral:lncRNA from 1 species